rnacentral:piRNA from 2 species
UGAGAGACUGUCAGGUAUGCUAGAUACCUUU